rnacentral:rRNA from 1 species
ACGACCUCGGAUCAGGUAGGGAUACCCGCUGAACUUAAGCAUAUCAAUAAGCGGAGGAAAAGAAACCAACAGGGAUUGCCCUAGUAACUGCGAGUGAAGCGGCAAAAGCUCAAAUUUGAAAUCUGACGUCUUUGGGCGUUCGAGUUGUAAUUUGGAGGGGUAUUUUUCCAGAGAUGGGGCGCCGUUCUACGUUCCUUGGAACAGGACGUCACAGAGGGUGAGAAUCCCGUGCCUGGACGGUGUAUACGUCUCGUGAAAGGAAGUACCUCCGACGAGUCGAGUUGUUUGGGAAUGCAGCUCAAAAUGGGUGGUAAAUUUCAUCUAAAGCUAAAUAUUGGCGAGAGACCGAUAGCGCACAAGUAGAGUGAUCGAAAGAUGAAAAGCACUUUGAAAAGAGAGUUAAAAAGUACGUGAAAUUGUUGAAAGGGAAGCGCUUGAGAUCAAACUUAGUUUUUGGUGAUCAGCCAUGGCUUCUGCCAUGGUGCACUUGCCAUUGAUUGGGCCAGCAUCGGUUUUGACGGUGGGAGAAACGGUAAGGGAAUGUGGCUCUCUUCGGGGAGUGUUAUAGAUCUUGCCUUCACUGCUACCAGUUGAGACCGAGGACC